CGACUAAGCGCACACGGUGGAUGCCCUGGCAGUCAGAGGCGAUGAAGGACGUGCUAAUCUGCGAAAAGCGUCGGUAAGGUGAUAUGAACCGUUAUAGCCGGCGAUGUCCGAAUGGGGAAACCCAGUGUGAUUCGUCACACUAUCGUUAACUGAAUACAUAGGUUAACGAGGCGAACCGGGGGAACUGCAACAUCUAAGUACCCCGAGGAAAAGAAAUCAACCGA
rnacentral:rRNA from 1 species